rnacentral:rRNA from 1 species
GAUGAACGCUGGCGGCGUGCCUAAUACAUGCAAGUCGAGCGAAUGGAUUAAGAGCUUGCUCUUAUGAAGUUAGCGGCGGACGGGUGAGUAACACGUGGGUAACCUGCCCAUAAGACUGGGAUAACUCCGGGAAACCGGGGCUAAUACCGGAUAACAUUUUGAACCGCAUGGUUCGAAAUUGAAAGGCGGCUCCGGCUGUCACUUCUGGAUACACCCGGGUCGCAUUAGCUAGUUGGUGAGGUAACGGUUCACCAAGGAAACGAUGCGUAGCCGACCUGAGAGGGUGAUCGGCCACACUGGGACUGAGACACGGCCCAGACUCCUACGGGAGGCAGCAGUAGGGAAUCUUCCGCAAUGGACGAAAGUCUGACGGAGCAACGCCGCGUGAGUGAUGAAGGCUUUCGGGUCGUAAAACUCUGUUGUUAGGGAAGAACAAGUGCUAGUUGAAUAAGCUGGCACCUUGACGGUACCUAACCAGAAAGCCACGGCUAACUACGUGCCAGCAGCCGCCGUAA